GGGGAACCUGGGGCUGGAUCACCUCCUUUAAAGAAAGCUGAUUAAGCGCUUUCGGAGUACCCACACAAAUUACCUAAUCAGAAAGCACGGACAUGGGUCUGUAGCUCAGUUGGUUAGAGCGCACCCCUGAUAAGGGUGAGGUCGGUGGUUCAAAUCCACCCAGACCCACCAUUUCGGGGCCAUAGCUCAGCUGGGAGAGCGCCUGCCUUGCACGCAGGAGGUCGGGAGUUCGAUCCUCCCUGGCUCCACCAAUUUCCUGUCCUUGAGUGCCAAGUGUUGAACCUGAAGGUUCAACACUUUGUAUUUAACAAAGUGCUGCUCUUUAACAAUAUGGUUUAGAUUGUAGAUAGGUGAAGUCCUAUAGAAGCACGAUUUAUUGUGUGACUUUGGACGAACUUAUAGCAUAUUCAAAUUCUCAAUAAAUGAAUAUGCGGGUAUGUUGCAUUCGAACAAAGCGACCAAUACCAGCGUAACUCCAGAGUUUUUGGGGUUAUAUGGUCAAGUGAAUAAGCGCAUAU
rnacentral:misc_RNA from 1 species